CCCCUGUGUGCCUUGCCUCCUACGACUACCCUGACCGAGCAAACGCCGCGUCGACGAAGAAGGUUUUCGGAUCGUAAAAGCUCUGUUGUAAGUCAAGAAACGGGGUGUGAGAGUGGAAAAGUUUCACACUGUGACGGUAGCUUUACCAGAAAGGGACGGCUAACUACGUGCCAGCAGCCGCGGUAAUACGUAGGUCCCGAGCGUUGUCCGAAUUUAUUGGGCGUAAAGCGAGCGCAGGCGGUUUGAUAAGUCUGAAGUUAAAGGCUGUGGCUCAACCAUAGUUCGCUUUGGAAACUGUCAAACUUGAGUGCAGAAGGGGAGAGUGGAAUUCCAUGUGUAGCGGUGAAAUGCGUAGAUAUAUGGAGGAACACCGGUGGCGAAAGCGGCUCUCUGGUCUGUAACUGACGCUGAGGCUCGAAAGCGGUGGGGAGCGAACAGGAUUAGAUACCCUGGUAGUCCACGCCGUAAACGAUGAGUGCUAGGUGUUGGAUCCGUUUCCGGGAUUCAGUGCCGCAGCUAACGCAUUAAGCACUCCGCC
rnacentral:rRNA from 1 species